GAUGAAGAACGUAGCGAAAUGCGAUAAGUAAUGUGAAUUGCAGAAUUCAGUGAAUCAUCGAAUCUUUGAACGCACAUUGCGCCCUCUGGUAUUCCGGGGGGCAUGCCUGUUCGAGCGUCAUUAUAACCACUCAAGCUCUCGCUUGGUAUUGGGGUUCGCGGUUUCGCGGCCCCUAAAAUCAGUGGCGGUGCCUGUCGGCUCUACGCGUAGUAAUACUUCUCGCGAUUGAGUUCGAUAGGUCUACUUGCCAGUAACCCCCAAUUUUUACAGGUUGACCUCGGAUCAGGUAGGGAUACCCGCUGAACUUAAGCAUAUCAAUAGAGGA
rnacentral:misc_RNA from 1 species